rnacentral:lncRNA from 1 species
GAGUAAGGCUUGAUAUUCAUUCAACAUUAUCUGUCAUCAAUCUGUAUGCUGAAAGGCUUCAAAAAAAGAGUUAGGUUCAAUAGAUAAAGUAGAAGUCUUGGAAGUCAGGAGCAAAGAGGACAUAUCUUGCUUUUGGAUAAGUGAUCUCAUGAGCAUAUGGUGGAUGCGAAUAGGAGACAAUGCAGGAGUGACAGAGAUUAUAAACGAGGGUGAUGGCUUGAUCACAUUAAAGGAACCUAUCCCCACAACUGGAACGAUCUUAGCUAAUCCGAAUGAGGGAUCGAUCUUUUGUUGUGGACCGGUUCAAUUUGGGAG